GGAGGGAUAGGAUUAUUAGUCCCCAUGGAGAACGUGAUCUUAGUGUUGAGCGCCUAGAUCUGGAUGAUGAUAAAACAGUGAUGAAGAAGAAGCGUGCUGACAAGGAGAACAAGGAUAAGAGAUAUCGUGAUCACGAUGACAGGGAACCUGACAAUGAAAACAAUGGGGACACUAGCAUGCAUCGGCUUUCGGAGAAAAAGAAAUCUUCCCGAAAGGUUGAUGACUUUGGAGGGAAUUCUAAUUUGGCUUCCUGUGAUGAUAAAGAUACAUUGAAAAGUGAGUGAACGAGGCCCCUAUAUUUUAUUAGAAUAUAGAGUAAUUGUCCAAUUCUGGUAUCAACUUGCAUGCCCAUAUUUCUGCAACAGUGGAAUCCUGGGAUUUUUUGUGUUUUUUGUUUUCUUUGUAGGAAAUUAGUAUAAUUGAAAAAUCCUUAAGUGCACUAUAAUUUUUUUAAUGAUUUAUCUUAACACCCCUCUAAAAUAAAGAGAGAGUAAAAUUUAGAAAUUAUUUAUGAGUACAAUUUUUUAAGUUUAUGUUUCAAGAAAAAGACGUUACAAUAUGUGUUUAUGUAGAUUGCAAUAGCUCAUAUGGUUAUGGUUGACUUGUUAACGAGCCUUUUAAAAUUUGGUUGGAUUUAUCAUUUCAGGCAUGUACAGCCAAGAGUUCACCUUCUGUGAAAAAGUUAAGGAGAGGUUACGCAGUUCGGAUGAUUACCAGGCAUUUCUGAAAUGUCUUCAUAUUUAUAGCACCGAAAUAAUCACAAGAAAAGAAUUACAGAGUUUGGUAUGAAUAUCAUUCCAUCUUUUGUUGUGUUUCAACACUUCACUAGCCACUUUUUGGAUAUCAAUAGCUCUUAAUUUAUAUUUUUAUUCAGUUCAUUUUGUUCAAAAACCAUCUUAAUUAUGCCCCUAUUCCAACAAUUGAUUUACAUAAUAGUAGUAUAUGCUCCAACUUGCAUUUUAAUUUUCUAUCAUCUCUCUAUUUAAUGGCAACAUUUAUCUUGCUUUAAAUUGAACCUCUGAAUAUUGAAUCGCUGCUCUUCCUUUGCCUAUCUAUCAUGUUUACUCAGGCUCUGUCCUAUUUUUUAUUUGGUGGCAACAUGUAAAUGCACUUCUUUAUCUGUUACUAACAUGAGUUAUUUUCAGGUUGCUGAUUUACUGGGUAAAUAUCCUGAUCUCAUGGAGGGAUUCAAUGAAUUUUUGGAACGCUGUGAACGAAUUGGUAUUGCUAAUGUUUUGUCGUGUGUAACAUUUUACGUUUUGAUUUUUUUUGUUUCUAGUUCUGACUUGGUGUUUGUUUUGCAGAUGGAUUUCUUGCUGGUGUUAUGGGCAAAAGUAUGUAAUUUUCCUGCUAUUUGUUUCCAUGUUACUUUAUGUAUAGCAUGUAUCGUACUUAUUUUAUUACAUUCUUGAACCAUUAUAUAAUCUGAAUUCUAAAAAUAAGUAACUGUGACUUACUCAUUUGACCACAAAUUGUGGCUCAAAAAUUAAUAAGUCAAAUUUUUUUUGGUAAAUGUAAAGACUCCUAUUUGUGAUUGGACAAUGCUACAUGUAAAAACAUUUUUUUAUACAAUUCUUUACUUACUAUUCACGUUAGGAGUGGGGACCACAAGUCGUCAUUUUUUAAAUACAUGUGAGGUUCACACAUUAUGUGAGAGGGAGUGAAAGAUUUUGUGAACCAUAGUUUGCACAUAUAUAUUUAUCCUUUGUGAUGUUAUACCACUUUUGAAAAGGCUGGCAGUGAAAUUUGGGCUACGAGAGCCCAUAUCUUGCAAGUCCAAAAGCCCAAAUUAUUCUGUUUUCGCGCAAAAGCCCAAUAGUUUCCAAAUUUCUACUUCUAAUCCUCUUAUACACGUAAGUAUACCUCUUCUCAUAUUGAGAGAUUUCGGUUUUUUCACCUCCGUUUUUUCGUAUAGUUGAUUGUUAUUGUUAGAGUUCUCUCAAGGUUAGAGAGAGAAAGUUAGAAAGAAGGGGAAAGUAAAAGAAGGAAAAAUUCAGAAAACAAUUCGAUCCAAAGAAUUGAACUGAUCUUUCAAUAUUUGGUUGGUUAAGAUUAGAUCUGUUCGCUGUUUUUCCCUUUCUGAAGGUAAAGAACUUUACUGGUCAGUUUCUGUGAGAAGUGUUUUUUUUUCUUCUAAACUUUCUUUUUGUUCAUCUCGCGUUUGAAUUUUACGGUUUGUUUUAUUUUGAUGAUUUUUGUUUGUUAUUGCAGGAAUGAAGCGAUCACGAGAGGAGGUUUAUGUGAACCCUCAAUUUAAGCGGCCAUUGGGUUCUUCGUCUUCUCGUGGAGAAUCGUAAGCUCUUUAAUAUUUGUAUAUAUGGAAUUGGUUCGUUUCUUGUGAUUUAUUAUAUUCAUCUGUGGUAUCGUGAUUUUUUUCUCGGUAGUAGCGGUCUUUUGUUCGAAGAUAAACUAUGUGGUGUUGAAUUUAAAAGUUACUUGUUUUCGAUUCAAGUAAAAUUUUGACGAUCAGAGCUAGUGGAUAACAUUUUUGCUCUUCUAUAGAAACUCCGUCAGUUCUCCUUAACAGCAGUAAGAGAGAUGGCACCGGAAAUAGGAAGAAUUAGGUUAUACUAUCAUCUAGGGUAGCUGAGAGUUCUUGUUUUAUUUUUAAUUUUUUGGGGGGUGGUGGUAGGUGUGAUGGGCCGAUAGGGAAAUAAAGUUUGGGUCUUUAGACGUGGCGCUGCUUUGCUUUGGGGUUUAUUAUCAAGCACCGGAAAUAGGAAGAAUUAGGUUAUACUAUCAUCUAGGGUAGCUGAGAGUUCUUGUUUUAUUUUUAAUUUUUUGGGGGGUGGUGGUAGGUGUGAUGGGCCGAUAGGGAAAUAAAGUUUGGGUCUUUAGACGUGGCGCUGCUUUGCUUUGGGGUUUAUUAUCAAUUUAUUUUAUAGUUAUUACACCCUCAGUCCCACAAAGAUAGGCUUGCUUUUCUUUUUUCGUCAGUCCCAAAUUAUAGGCCACUUUCCUCAUUGAAAAUAUAAUUAAUUUCUUAGUUUACUAAUAUAUCCCUAUUUAAUGUACUUUAUUAUUAACAAAUUUGAACUACUAUUUAUAUCAUUAUUUUAUGUAAAGGUAUAUUAGGAGAUUGUUUUCCAAUAAAUUACUUUUCUUAAUCUUUGUGAAAAUGGAAACAAGCAUAUCUUUGUGGUACGGAGUAAGUAUUAUUUCCUUUUUUCUAUGGGCGAUGGGAUUCAUGGGAACGGUUCAAAGUUAUAAACGUCUCAAUUAUUUUUUUGGCUGUAUUGAACGGAGGUUUUUACAUUGAACCUGACUGGUAGUCGUAGUAGUGGAAAUUAACGACCUUUAGGAACAAACAUAGCAGCCAAUGAUAUGAUAGUGAUAUUUUCGGUGGAGGAGAGUACUCAUACGGUCUUGUGUCUCUUGACUCUCUUCCGAAGGUAUUCUCUGUUAGCAUUCUUGCCUGUGCUCUUCUAAGUGUAACAUAAUGGAUAAGUGAAAGCAUUGACUAUCUAGACGCAUACUUCAUUCAAGGGUCCUUGACCAUCCUUUAUAAAUGGGAAUUAUGGUUUCUGGAAAAGUAAAUUUAAGUGCACAAGGGAGAGAACUAAUAAUUAAUUAGAGCUCAUGUGUGCAGUGCACGUGUUGUCUAAUUAAGUUUCAGUUGUAUCUAUUUUUGAAUUAUCAUUGUGACGUGUGUAUUUUAAAUUUCCUUGUAAUAAAGCUAUGGGCUGUCACAUGCCCCUGGCGGCGGCGGCGGCAGCGGUAGCGGUGUUGGAGGAGGUGGUGCUGUUGCUGGAGGUAGUGGCAAUGUCGGUGGUGGUGCUGGUGGUAGUACACAAAAGCUUACAACCAAUGAUGCCCUAAGUUAUUUGAAGGAAGUCAAGGACAUGUUCCAAGAUGAAAGAGAAAAAUAUGACCGGUUCCUUGAUGUCAUGAAAGAUUUCAAGGGACAAAAGUAAAUCAUCUUCCUUGUUAAGAUUAGCUUGUGCAUAUUACUAUUGAAUGGAUCACUUUUUAGCAACUUCAUUUUAAUAUGUUACUUGCAGAAUUGAUACAGCUGGUGUUAUAGGACGGGUGAAAGAGUUAUUUAAGGGGCAUCCUAAUCUUAUCCUUGGGUUCAAUACAUUCUUGCCCAAGGGUUAUGAAAUCACCCUUACUGAUGAGGAAGAGGCUCCAAAAAGGACGGUCGAGUUUGAAGAGGCUAUAAGUUUUGUAAACAAGAUUAAGGUGAAAAUUUCUUAUCACUUACACAGUAAGGGGUUUGAAAUAAAGUUUCUAAAUAGAAUAUAAAUACCAAUAUCCUACUGGACUUUGUGCACCUGCAGAAACGAUUCCAAAAUGAUGAUCAUGUUUAUAAAUCAUUCCUUGACAUCUUGAAUAUGUAUCGGAAGGAACACAAGGGUAUCACUGAGGUUUACCAAGAGGUAUAUGCAUCUUGUUGAAAUGUUUUGUGUUGAAUAGAAUAAGCAGACUCCUUGGAAUUUGUCAAUUUCUAGAUUUUUGUGGUGCUUCUAAUUAUUUUAGUUUGUAAAAUCCAUUUGCAGGUUGAGGCCCUUUUUAAUGACCAACCAGAUCUCCUUGAGGAGUUCACUAGAUUUUUGCCAGAUACUUCAGCUACAGCAUCAGUGGCACAUGCUUCUUUUGGACGGCGUCCAUUCAAUCAUUAUGAUGAGAGGAGCUCUGCAAUGCCCACAAUGCGGCAAUCCCAUGUAGAUAAGGUUAUAAUUUUGUACACUUGUUUUUCUUUAUGUAUCUGUUUUAUCAUUUCUUGUUUCUAAAUGAGAUGGCCUACAACAUUUAGCAACGUUUGCGGAGGGAUAGGAUUAUUAGUCCCCAUGGAGAACGUGAUCUUAGUGUUGAGCGCCUAGAUCUGGAUGAUGAUAAAACAGUGAUGAAGAAGAAGCGUGCUGACAAGGAGAACAAGGAUAAGAGAUAUCGUGAUCACGAUGACAGGGAACCUGACAAUGAAAACAAUGGGGACACUAGCAUGCAUCGGCUUUCGGAGAAAAAGAAAUCUUCCCGAAAGGUUGAUGACUUUGGAGGGAAUUCUAAUUUGGCUUCCUGUGAUGAUAAAGAUACAU
rnacentral:lncRNA from 1 species